rnacentral:rRNA from 1 species
GGUGAACGCUGGCGGUGUGCCUAAGACAUGCAAGUCGUGCGGUCCUUCCUUUUUGUACUUUAAAUAACUAGAGUAUAAAGAGGAUGGACAGCGGCGAACGGGUGAGUACAAAGCACGAACAUACCCUUUAGUGGAGCAUAGCUGGCCGAAAGGUUGGGUAAUUCUCCAUAAUACCUCCGGGUUAAAGACUUCGGUCGCUAAAGGAAUGGCGUGCUUAUUACCAGCUUGUUGGUAGGGUAAUGGCCUACCAAGGCUAUGACGGUUACCGGCUCUUAGCGGAGAGUCCGGCACAAUGGGACUGAGAUACGGCCCAUACACCUACGGGUGGCAGCAGUUAGGAAUCUUGCGCAAUGGACGAAAGUCUGACGCAGCGACACCGCGUGUGGGAUGACGGCCUUCGGGUUGUAAACCACUUUUAUUUGGUCAUAUGACCUUUUGAAUAAGCAACUACUAAUUAUGUGCCAGCAGUCGCGGUAAUACAUAAGUUGCAAGCGUUACCCGGUUUUACUGGGCGUAAAGAGUCUGUAGGCGGCCCAAAAAGUCUCAUUUCAAAGACUCCGGCUCAACCGGAGAAAGGGAUGGGAUACUAUUAGGCUAGAGUCAUACAGGAGCUACUGGAAUUUGUAGUGUGGGGGUAAAAUCCGUGGAUACUACAAAGAACACCAAGCGCGAAGGCGGGUAGCUAGGUAUGUACUGACGCUGAGAGACGAAAGCUAGGGUAGCAAAUCAGAUUAGAGACCUGAGUAGUCCUAGCCGUAAACGUUGUCUGUUAGUUCCGAGGUCUUCUUUGGAACGUAGUUAACGCGUUAAACAGACCGCCUGGGGAGUAUAGCCGCAAGGCCGAAACUCAAACGAAUUGGCGGGGAGGCGCACAACCAGUGGAGCAUGUGGUUCAAUUCGAUACGAAGCGAUAAACCUUACCUGGGCUUGACAUCCUGCUUAUAUUUUUUCCGAAAAGAAAAAAUUUAGUGGCAGGACAGCUGUUGCAUGGCUGUCGUCAGCUCGUGACGUGAGUUGUUCUCUUAAGUGAGGUAACGAGCGCAACCCCUGUGGUGUGUUUUUUUGUCACACCAGACUGCCUAGCAUUAUUUUUGUUGGGAGGAAGGAGGGGACGACGUCAAGUCAGCAUGAUGCUUAUGUCCAGGGCUACACACAUCCUACAAUGGGGCUCACAAAGGGUUGCAAUACCGCAAGGUGGAGCUAAUCCCCAAAGUGUCCCUCAGUUGGGAUUGCAGGCUGGAAUUCGCCUGCAUGAACUUGGAAUUGGUAGUAAUCGCAGGUCAGCAGACUGCGGUGAAUACGUUCUCGCCUCUUGCACACACUGCCCGUCAAAUCAGCAAAGUUGAGGGCACCCAAAGUACCACCUUUUGGUGGUCCUAAGGUGAAUUCAGCGAUGAGGGUU